GAAGGAUUAGCUCAGUGGUAGAGCGCCGCCGUCACCGAAUUUCCAAUCUCGAGCCCAGCCUUACACUAUGUAAGGACUCGAAGAGCGGUUUUACAAGGGACAAUGACGGGACAGCGAGAGUUCGAUCCUCUCAUCCUUCA